rnacentral:rRNA from 1 species
CCUACGGGUGGCAGCAGUGGGGAAUAUUGGACAAUGGGCGAAAGCCUGAUCCAGCCAUGCCGCGUGUGUGAAGAAGGCCUUCGGGUUGUAAAGCACUUUCAGUGGGGAAGAAAGCCUUGGGGCUAAUACCCUCGAGGAAGGACAUCACCCACAGAAGAAGCACCGGCUAACUCCGUGCCAGCAGCCGCGGUAAUACGGAGGGUGCGAGCGUUAAUCGGAAUUACUGGGCGUAAAGCGCGCGUAGGCGGUCUGAUAAGCCGGUUGUGAAAGCCCCGGGCUCAACCUGGGAACGGCAUUCGGAACUGUCAGGCUAGAGUGCAGGAGAGGAAGGUAGAAUUCCCGGUGUAGCGGUGAAAUGCGUAGAGAUCGGGAGGAAUACCAGUGGCGAAGGCGGCCUUCUGGACUGACACUGACGCUGAGGUGCGAAAGCGUGGGUAGCAAACAGGAUUAGAUACCCUAGUAGUC